UCCCUGGCUGCCCAGUGGUUAGGACUCAGCACUUUCACUGCUGGGGCCUGGGUUUGAUACCUGGUCAGGGAA
rnacentral:tRNA from 1 species